rnacentral:rRNA from 1 species
UGCGUAGGCGGCUUUGUAAGUCAGAUGUGAAAUCUAUGGGCUUAACCCAUAAACUGCAUUUGAAACUACAGAGCUUGAGUGAAGUAGAGGCAGGCGGAAUUCCCUGUGUAGCGGUGAAAUGCGUAGAGAUAGGGAGGAACACCAGUGGCGAAGGCGGCCUGCUGGGCUUUAACUGACGCUGAGGCACGAAAGCGUGGGUAGCAAACA